GGCGCCGUGGCUUAGUUGGUUAAAGCGCCUGUCUAGUAAACAGGAGAUCACGAGUUCGAAUCUCGUCGGUGAUU
rnacentral:tRNA from 1 species